rnacentral:rRNA from 1 species
UACGAAGGGGGCUAGCGUUGUUCGGCAUUACUGGGCGUAAAGGGCGCGUAGGCUGUGCUGUAAGUCAGGCGUGAAAGCCCCGGGCUCAACCUGGGAAUUGCGCUUGAUACUGCGGCGCUGGAAGGUGGGAGAGGAUGGCGGAAUUCCCAGUGUAGAGGUGAAAUUCGUAGAUAUUGGGAAGAACACCGGUGGCGAAGGCGGCCAUCUGGCCCACAAUUGACGCUGAGGCGCGAAAGCGUGGGGAGCAAACAGG